UAAUGUGGUUCGCACCGAGUUUCGGAGCCAGGCGAGGAAGAGCUCAGUCUUCCUGUGCCCUUGCCGUAGCAGAACCUCUUUGGCGAUCCGGCCCGGACUUCGUGCGGUGAAAUGCACCCCUUGACCAAGUACGUCCUCUGUCUCUGCGUCCUCACGACAUCGGUUUUGGCCCAGUCCCUCUGGGGGGACGAACCAGCGUUGCCACGAUGCCUAGCCUGUCAGCAGAUUUGCGUGUCGAAAGGCUACUCGGCCAACGGAUGUGAGCUCAAGUGUAGAGACUACUGCGCGCGAAAUGGAGUCGCGUACGGUUGCAAGCAAUGCACAGACGACUGCAGGAUGUUGGACGCCUCCCCCAACUACUGCAAAUUCAUCGGAUGUGCCCACAUGUGCCCUGUUGCGUAUGCCCAAUGGGGAUGAAGAGGAUCCACAAUGCGAUGGGCUAUCCUCGUUUGGAUCAACCAUAAAAACCGUCGCGUAGUCUUAGAGUCUUUGCUUUUAAAGACGGAGGCCCUGAAGGAGUCGCAGAUGAAGAAGAAGUCGCUAGAAAAACCUCUUCAGAAAUUGAUGAGGGUAACAGAGACGAUGAAAGCACUUUUGGAUGCAUCAGAUGUAUCAUUGGAUGUAUGAUGAUGGGAGACCCAUUCUCAAAGUGCAAAUCUCAAGUAUGCAAGCCCAAAUGCAAGAGGGACUAUACUGAGCAAUGCGUCGAGUGCGUCAGAAGUUUUUGCUCCUACAACAAUAGAGGCGGCUUCUUAGACUUCCAAGACUGCCCAUACUGCUUAGGGGUGUGCGGCACAAUGCUCAUGCAGUGAACAUUCUCAAUUUUCAAUGUCCAGUUGCGAAAUUUCCGAUGUACCGUGUUCGUUGUAAUAAUGCUCCUGUCAAUAUCCUCCCCCUCACGAAAGAACGUAACUGCAUUUCAAUGUUGCCAGAUUUCCACUCGCAAAUUUGCAGCUGCAAAAAUGCAGUUUAACCAGGAGAAUUUUGGGUGUUUCUAAAUGAAAAUUUCCCCUCAUUUUUUUUCUGAUCCCUUGUAAAAAUCUGACAAAUUUUGGGGGAAAAUUACAGGGUACAUUCUCGCAAAAAAUUGAAUAGUUUUUAAUCAAUUUCGCAACUUUGGAAUGGAGUUACGUUCUUAUGUUCUAUAUGUUCGGUGAACAAAACGUAUACUAUGAGUAACUGUACUAUGAGUACCCAUUACUGAAUGUCAAGUGUGACAGUUGUACAAAGUGCACUUUUUUUUUUAUUAUUAGUUCAA